GGACACUUAAGUGACUUAGAAACCCAUUCAGAGGUUACUCUGUUCCCUUCACACAACUCAGGCAUUUCCAUGUUGGUCUCAGCUGCCAUCUCAAUGGCUCAUUCUUUUUAUAUAUCAGAGCAAAUCUGGACCUCCCAAUAUGUUUUGGGGAGAAGUCGGCUUAGAGGGGUUUGCCUUGCUCUUUGAGAGAACGAGUUUAGCAAGCAUUAAUUUUUCUAAGAAGGUGGCAUAAGUUUUGAUGUGAUUUUCUGGAGAAUAGUCACAAUUUAUCUUAUUCCCCCAAGAGAAUGGGAUGAUGUUCCCAUAGAAUCUUGCUUAUCCUGCUAGCAGUAACUUGUAUUCUCUGAUUUAUACAAACAAGAAAUAGAGGGUGAUGGUGGGGGAAAUGAUACCAGGAAAUAGUUCGUUUUUUGCAGGGAUUCAGAAUGUGUCACUGGGCUUCAAGAUAGGAAGAAUCUUUGCCUUGAUGCUGAUGAAGGUAACCACCCCACCCACCAUCAUCUAUUAAGGAUUUACUGUGUGGUCACUUUAUAGUCAUCUAAGUAAAUUUCCAUAAUUACCUGAUAAGAUGGGUACCACUUUUCAGAAAAAGAAACAGAUUUCUGGAGAGUAAGUAACCCAGGUAGUACAGGUGGGCCAUCUGUCUGCAUGUCAAGCAUCAAGACAGCCUUUGGCCUUUGUGGGUGUUGUCAAAUGUGCUGGUCUCUGUCAUUAAUUCGUGGAGCUGCUCAUUUCCACAAACACCUAGGAUGCAGUAUGCACCCUCUGUUUCGAGUGAGGUCCUUGGACCAGCAGCAUGGCAGCAGCUGGCAGCUUGCCCUCGACGCAGAACGCCAGGCACUCCCUGGAGCUACAGCACGAGAUCCCCAGGUAGGGAUGUGCAUGUGCAUCUACGUUUUGAACCACACUCCUCUUUGCUACUACGGAAGAACAUAUCCUCUACUCUCCCUCCCCUUUGUCUCAUCUUGUCUGGUAAUUUUAAAUUAUUUAAAAGUAAGUUACAGAAAAUCAUAGUGUCUCAAAAUGGCUUACCAAGAAAUAUUCAAAGCUGUAAGAUCAGAAGCUUGAAAUGAAGAUUUCUAUGCAUCUUUGAAUUGUUCUACAGAAAUUAAAAAAAAAUCCAGACAUCUAAAAGAUGAUGAUUUUCAGAAUUCAUAGUAACAUGGUGUUCUUCAUGGUGUCGGAGCCAAGUUCUUGCUGAGGUUUGCACUGGGCUGUCCCCCAGGCAGCUGCAACACAGCACAGAGCCACCCUUGCUGUCUAAGCCUUGUCGCUGGAGGGGAAGAGGGAGGACCAAGCUGUCAACAGCCCCAGACCUGCCAAGCCCCAUUAGUCUGUGUGCCCGCCAGGAUUCUAAAACUCCUUUUGGGAAUUUUGACUUUUACUGAAUUGUGAAAUUCUGUGUAUAUAUAGCCUUGGUGAGCUGACCCAGUCAGGGAUGACUCUUCAUACACUUUGUCUUACAAGAUUCAGAAUCCAAGGCUACAGGAGGUAAUAAGGCCUUUGGGAGGGCCUGCCUCUCCUCCUCAGCUCCCCCCACCCCUCCCCAAUGUGUGGGUCUCCAUCCUGAGAUUUCUAUUCAGAUGACUCAGUCCUAGGCAGCAACCAAAAUUCCUUGUCAGCUGAGGAAGUCCUGAAGAAACAUCCUGAAGAUGAUGACUGCACUGCCACUGUGGGCAGAUGCAGCUUCCAUCUACCUGAGGGCUGAAGGGGAAUUCCUUUCACACACAGCUCUGAGGAAAGGUGACUAGAAUGGCCGCGGCAGCAAAUAGGGCUCCAAUGCACGUUCAGACUCAGCUGGGUGAGGAGAGCAGGGCCCUCCACAGCAAGCUUGCUCUACAGAAUCAAGUCCUGAGCUUGUUUUUAACUACAAUUAGACAGAGAAUGGUCUCAUGUUUCUCAGUUAUACAGGGAAGAACAGUGCAUAUUCUCUGUAGAUGAGUGUCAUCUAAUGUAGUGUUUUGUAUCUGCUAGUGUUAGGAAAUCUCCACUAUUUGGGUGGGUGGGUGUGUGUGUGCACGCACACACACACACAGAAGUCUUGACUUUCCAAUUACAAAAUGCCUAAGUCAGGUCACAAUGUCUUCUUCCAGCCAGUUUCUAAGGGAGGCAAUGGAAACAGGAGCUGAUGCCAAUGGUCAAGAGGCAGAAGGGCCGCAUGCUUUGCAGGGCCAGCUCCAAGGCUGCCUUCCAGAACUGCUCUUUCCCAGGGAACUCUCACUGCAGCCGCCAGCGCCCCCAUGCUCAGACGGGGGUUGCCCCUCACAUGGACUUGGAAUCAGUGUCUCUCUUGCUGAUGAGCACCUCCAGGAGCCUCAGUUUUGCCUUUAUGUGUUUGUAUUCACUGUAUUCUUCAGCCAUAGGAGUGCGGUCUUCCUUCUGGACAUUUCUAAUGGAAAUAAAGGAAAAGGGGUCUGAGGGUCA